UACGUAGGGGGCAAGCGUUGUCCGGAAUCAUUGGGCGUAAAGAGCGUGUAGGCGGCCCGAUAAGUCCGCUGUGAAAGUCCAGGGCUCAACCCUGGGAUGCCGGUGGAUACUGUCGGGCUCGAGUCCGGAAGAGGCGAGUGGAAUUCCUGGUGUAGCGGUGAAAUGCGCAGAUAUCAGGAGGAACACCAAUGGCGAAGGCAGCUCGCUGGGACGUGACUGACGCUGAGGCGCGAAAGCGUGGGGAGCGAACAGG
rnacentral:rRNA from 1 species